rnacentral:rRNA from 1 species
AUGUUCGAGGGGGUGGUGAGCCAGGUGCUCGCCGGCCUGCUCGGCCGCUACGUCAAGGGCAUCCAGAAGGAGCAGCUUAAGAUCGGCAUCUGGAACGAGGAAAUAAAUUUGGAAAAUGUAGAGCUCAUUCUGGAAGCCUUUGACUACCUGCAGUUGCCUUUCGCACUCAAGACUGGACGAAUCGGGAAGUUAAGCAUAAAGAUUCCAUGGAAAAAACUUGGAUGGGACCCUAUAAUUAUUGUUAUAGAAGAUGUGUUUGUAUGUGCAUAUCCGCGGGAGGAUUCUGAGUGGGAAUCCGAGUCACUUGGUAAGAGAGAACUAGCUGGAAAAUUGGCUAAACUUAAUGCUAUAGAGCUCGCUAAAUUUUCCAGAAGAGUGACAGAUAACCAAACGGGGCAAUCACUUCUAUCCUACAUGUCAGCAAAGAUACUGGACAAUAUCCAAGUUUCCAUACGAAAUGUUCACAUCAUAUAUGUUGAAUCCCACAACGAUCAGGGGAGCUUCAUAUUUGGUUUGGAACUCAACAGUCUCUCGAUACAAACAGAUACACAGAAGCAAAGUUUUGCCAUGUCAUUGAUGGCUAGGUCCAGACAAGAUGAAGUGAACAAGAAGAUAAAUAUAUCAAAUGUUGGAAUUUACUGUCAACAGUUGGAAGAACAGCAGAAUCUAUAUGAUGUUGGUGCUCUUACUGAUGCUCAGUCUAAUUUCAGUCUCGGGUUGGCCCACCCAAGAGAUGAUUAUCUUAUAAAUCCAUUUUGUGUGACUGUGUCUGUGCUUGCCAACAACUCCGGAAAGCGUGAUGGUGUGCCUCAGUAUGACAUGACUGCAGAACUAACUGCAUUGGUUCUAUCAAUAGAUGAAAUCCAGCUUCAGCAAAUUUUGAAUCUCUGUGAUCACUUCACCAUCUGUGCUCUGCGAACAAAAUAUGGUCGUUACCGCCCGCCUGGGAGCUUUUUAUCUAAGAGACAUAAAGGUUGGCAGAUAAUGUGGUGGCAGUAUGCCAAGGAUUCUAUCAUGGCAGACGUUGAAAGAAGACUGAAGAAAACCUCUUGGAGGUUCUUGGGGAAGCGACUGGAGUGCCGUCGGAAAUAUGUCAAUUUGUACCGAACGAAAUUGGAGCUCUUGCAGAAAGGACAGCUUGUAAGUAAAGACAUUCUACAAAAGCUGGAAACUCUGGACAAAGAAUGUGAUAUAGAUGAUAUAGUUAGCUACAGAACAAUUGCAGAGCAACGACUACAGGAUUUGUCUGUGAAAUCAACAAAAGACAACUUUUGUAGUCCAGGAAGUCCUCGAACUGAUGAGCUGUCAGCAGGGGCAGGCCGAGGAUGGUUAAACUGGCUUUCUCUUGGAAUGCUUGGUGCUGGUGGAACAGCUGACACUAGUUCAUUUGCUGGUGUUGUUUCAGAAGACAUUAUUAAGGAUCUAUACGAGGGAACAGAAUUUCAUCCUGUUUCUUCUGCUGAAAAUCAUCUGACAAAGGAAAACUACUACUCUUUGAGACUAUCUAUUCCUCAAAUACUCACAACUGUCACCUCCAGAAGGUUUGGCAUGAAGCUUAUUGAUGGGAUGUUUACUGGUCUUGGUACUGAAUAUAAAAUAUGGGAUGAUUCAGCAACUAUCCUUGCUUGGCUUGAUUCACUUGAGAUAACUAACCCGUUGAAUAAAAAUAAAGUCUUGCUGGCUCAAAAGUGUAGCACUGGUGAUGGUCUAGGUGCACCUGUUAUCAGUAUUCAAGUAGACUUUCCGAAGUCAAACGAAAACUCAGAAGCUUCAACACGGGUUGUUGUCCAGGAAUUCAAUGUCAUAUACGAACCAGAACUCUUCUUUAAUCUCCUGCACAUCUAUGAUUUGUUUUCCUCUUUCCAAUUCCAGCAUGAUAGGGUGCUUUCCUCGCUAAACCGUUUUGAUAAUUUUGGAACAAGACUUCUUUCCAAACUGGAGUACAUGUCUGUGAACCAAAAGAAACUUCUCUGGGAUUUAAGGAUUCACCAUUUCGUCAUUAAGCUACCAUCAUAUGAUUGUGGAAGAGAACUUACUAUGGUUUUUGAGGCUGAAGAUAUAUCCAUGCGAUCCAAAGAUAGAGUUGGCGAUGAUUCUCAGACACAAGAUAACAAUUAUUUUCUUGACUACAUGUCGAAGAAAACUUCUACUUGUUUUUCUGACAGCCUGCUACCUGGGUUGCAACUGGAUGACCUAUAUAAUCAUUUUGAGGUUAGCCUCACCGGAUUCGAGGUGAAGGUGUUGAUGGCUAGUAGACAUGAUAUAACCUCUACACUGGUCAAACUGGACGCUUCUAUUGUCCUUGGAUUGUGCAUAUUCUUGGAUGAACCAAUGCUGAAACAAUUGGAGGUUGCUUCUAUUGUGCGAUCUGCCAAUAUCUACUUCUCUCGGACAAUGUACAGUGCUGUUGUUAAUUUGUGUACCUAUCUGAAAGAAAGUAACCUAGUUGGAAGCAACACUUCCGUUGAUACCAUGACUAAUGGGCCCAAUAAACCAGCCUUAAAUAUGUCUGCAUCUCUCAAGCUGGACAAACUGAGUUUAAGGGUUGACCUUGAAGACAAUGGCAAGGAAUGUUCACUCAUCACUGUUAGUGUUGGAGAUAUUGACAUCAGGUAUGCUGUGUGGGAAUUGUCAGAACUUUGGAUCAUCACCAAGAUGGUUGAAAUUACUUCCACUGAUCUGAAGAACAAAUCAAAUUCACAUGUGCUAUGUUCAUCAGGAAACUACAAAACUAGCACUUGUGUAGACUUGACAGGUUUUCCUGAAAGUUCUGCUGCCGAGGCUUGCUUAAAGCUGCAUUACAGGACUCACAAAUAUAAUGAUCAAAUACAUCAUGUGUACCAGUUGAACUUAAAUGAUGUUGAUCUGCAUGUUCAUCCAUCUGUAUUUGGUCGGAUAAAGAAGUUUUUGAGCAAUCUUGAUGCAGUAUCUCCAGGUGGCAGUGCUGUUGUGUCCUCAACAAUGGACCAGAGUUCCAUGAAACCUAAGGCAGCCAAUGCCAAAUUUCCUAAGCUUUCAUUGUCAGAUAUCUGUGGAGCAGAGAGCACAUCAUUUGGAGGAGUUUCUGUUGAUCACUUUCCCUUUUUACAUGCUGAUAUCAUAUCUAAUUUCGGAUGUUUAGAAACUCAAGAUGUUGAGGCCUUAGAUAUUACAUCUUCAAAGAGUAAACAGUGUCAUGAGACUUCAGGUUUAAAUGGUUACUCUGCACCAGAGCUUGCAAGCAAUGCACAGUGUAAAAAUGAGCAUACUAGCUGUUCAUCUAACUCACUGAAUAACACAAAUAAUGUCAGCACUACCGUUCUGGAUUUAUCACUUGUUUCGGUUAGAACUCAUUUCCAUGAAUCAUGUGGUAUUUUAGCAACACUCACUGUUCCCGAGUCUAUAGCAACAUUCUCACUGGCAGAUGCAACUUCAUGGGACCUAUUGUUCUCUGCUAAAGAUAUAUUGCUUGCUUCACCGUGGACAUCACCAAGUGUCAGUGAGGUACUCUGGGGGACUUAUUCACAUGGUAAUUCUAAUGUACUCAAUGUCCGUGUCAAAAAGGACUUGUCUGCUCUCUCAACUGAAGUAUGUAUUGCAACCCAAAAUGUUUGUUGUGUAUUACCAACAAAAUUGCUGGCAAUGAUUAUUGGAUAUUUUUUAUUGGAUGAUUGGGAUCCUAUGGUGGAAGAGCAUCACUCUGUGGCAAGUAACAAUCUUGAGUGUUCCGGAGAAUUGCAUGACAGUAUCACCUACAAAAUUGAGAUAUGUGAUUGUGUUAUACUUUUUCCUGUCGAAAAUCAAGAACUUUUUUGUAUAAAACUUGGUGUUCCAUAUUUUUUCUGCGAGUUCAUUCCAACUGGGAUUUCAACAGAAUUUGUCAAGCGUAUUCCCAAAGAAUUCUUGAGUUCAGAAUGUACUCUUUCCAGUAGAGCUGAUGUCAUCAGCCUAUGUUUAAGAGAUGCAUCCAUAUCACUUGUAUUCCUGAAUGAGCAAACGAAAUUUAUCCCGAAGCUUGAUGAGGACAUGCCUGCAAGAAUACACCCUCUUGUGGAAAAGCUUGAUGCCGGUAUAUGGAUUCAAGUUCCUUGCAAAAAACCAUCCUGCACCGAGCAGCCUUUGUUGGCCACUUUCAUUAUGAGCAAAAUAUCAAAAUGCAAUUUGAUUUCUGAAGAUUUGUAUUUUAUGGACGGGAUGGAGACAGUUUUUCGUAUUACUGACGAGUUAACUUCAAUUGUCAAAGAAAGUAAAAUGUACGAAGGCAAUGCCCGUCAGUUUUUAGAACGUAGAAGAUCCAAUGAGGAGAGCGUUGAAUCUAAUGAGCCUAUUAAUAUUACUAUUUCUAUCAAGGAUCUGGUGGUUCUCUUUGGUCACUCAAAAGAUAAAGUUUUGCCAUUGGAGAAGGUUGCCACUGCAAACCUUGAGUUUGAUGUUUCUGCUGUAAUGGUUAAUGAAAAACCUGAGCAUGUUGACAUGGAUAUUGUCUCUUUAGCUCUACACUCAUCUGGUGGCCACACUCUUGUCUCCAUAGUUUCUGAUGGGCCAUCAUCUCCUAUUCUAAUCAAGUUCACAAAGCAUCAUGCUGGGCGAGAUGAGAUAUUAAUUACUGUACCCUUUUUCGAGACCUGGUUAUAUUUAGUUGAUUGGGAUAUCAUUAUCAACCAUUUUCAUUCCUACAUAAGAAAGGAAGACAGCAGUUUGCAUGUGGGGCAUCCAGCAGCUUCACCUCAUUUUUCAGGCUCUGCAAUGUCAUCAUUUCUUGAAUCAGAAUCACAAGACAAUUCUUACUUGGUGGUAACAUGUGAAAAUAUUGCUGUUGUUGUUCAUGUACCUAUCUGGGAGAAAGAGCAAAAUGAGAAUAGCAAUUAUCCAAGGGUUGACGGGAACUCUGGUUCUUAUUUGAUCCACCAUGCAGAUGAUACUCAAUCCAUUGAACCAAGAGGUUGCAAAUUUGUCACCUUAACUUUUGAGAGUAAACAUUUUGUGGUCAUGUUAGGUGAAAGCUGGGUGAAGUUCAAAUGUGAUUUAGAUAGAGUAAAAGUAAUACUGGAGAUGAUCCAAGUGAGCAAGGGUGCCUCUGUUCCGUUCAUGCAUAUAUCUAAGAUUAAAGCUGGUGGCUAUAUUCAUCAAUCAGAAACUGACAUGCUACAUCUUUCUGUUGAUCUACAAGCAGAAUACAUGGAUGUUAGUUUUUCACACCAGAUAUUUAGUUUCUGGCGUAGUAUAGAACUCAGAUUUCCUAAAUCGUCGUCAUCAGCUUCCUCAUUUUGUUCUGUGACAUUGAAGGCGGGAUUAAGAAAAGGUUCUCUCCUGCUAAAUGAUGGAAGGUGGAGCAGUCAUGGGCCUGUUAUAGAGACGUUGGUGAAGAACUUGUCACUGCAAUUUAGUCAAAUGGGUGUUGAGACUGAAGUUUCUGCUUUUGUUGACUUUCUGAUAAAUUACAACAACAUCGACAAGGUUAUGUGGGAACCUUUUAUAGAGCCCUCAAGUUUUCAGUUAAACAUACUUCAAAAAUGUGCUGAUCAUGCACUGGAUGUAUCUCCCAUUACUGAGGUGUCGCUAAAUUCAAGCAAGCAGCUUAAUGUUAAUAUAUCAGAGCCCUUGAUCGAGGCUAUCUUCAGACUUAGUGAGAUGAUCACAGAUUCUCUUAAUCCAAGUAGUGGAGGUGAUCUUCGAGAAGAUCCUGGGAUCGUGAGGUUAAGCCGUGAUGAUGUGCACACCAGGAGAUACGCACCAUAUAUUCUCUCAAAUGACACAUCACUGCCAUUUAGUUUCAAGGUGUAUCGUGGUGCUGUUAAUUCAGAUGACAUUGAUAGUUUCUCUGUAGUAGAUGAGAAUUCUGUGCCGGCAGGAUAUUCUGUCCCGAUAUAUGUUGAAGAAACUCUAGAUGAAUUCUUCUUCCAGCACAGGGAAGCACGAUCAUCUGAACACCUCAUCGAGAAAUGGAUGAGUGCAGUCUCACACUAUAUGAUUUCCAUUGAAUUUGAUGGGACUUCCGGGUCCUCUAAGCCAAUGUCAAUUGACCUUGUGGGCAUUUACUUCUUUGAAGUCAACUUCUCUUCAAGUAAGAAGCCAAUUCUUGGCGAGGAAAGCUUGGAAGCAUUUGGAUCUGGUAGAAAGGGUAGCCAUCAUGAUGGAUUAAUUGUGCCUGUUGUACUCGAUGUUUCCUUGCAGAAUUAUAGCAAACUUGUACGAGUUUACUCAACGGUCAUACUCUUCAAUGCAACAUCAAUGCCCCUUGAGUUGCGGUUUGAUAUACCAUUUGGUGUUUCCUCAAAGGUAAUCGGGCCAAUUCUUCCAAACAAAGAGAUUCCCCUGCCGGUUCAUUUGUCUGAGGCUGGCCAGAUUAGGUGGCAUCCUGUUGGCAGAACUUAUUUGUGGAGUGAAACCCACUCCUUAUCAAGUUUGCUUUCACGUGAAAGCAGGGUGGGUUUUAUGAAAUCAUCUGUGUGCUAUCCUUCUCACCCUAGUAAUGAUCCAUUUCGCUGCUGUGUAUCUGUUGAAGAGUACACUGUCCCUUCAUCUAGUAGUGCCCAGAAAGGUCAGUACUGCACUGACCAUUUGAAUGCACAACCAAUUCUUGGAAAUACUGCUCCAAGGGCUUCUAAGCAGGUUUUAACAAGAACGCAUUUCAUCCGGCAAGUCCGACUUAGUACACCUCUUCUCAUAAAGAACUAUCUCCCUGUGUGUGUAUCUUUGACAAUAGAUAAUGGUGGGGUUGCACAUCAGGUUUCACUUAAGGAGGUGGGUACCGCCUCUAUUUAUUUUGUUGACCCCUCCAACGAUCUUGGAAUCACAUUUCAUAUUCAAGAUUACAGAUCCGUGACCAUAAAGUUUCCCCGUGUGGAAUCGUUCUCUAAUGGAGCCACAUCAAAUGGCUUGAAAUUCUCCUUAACAGAGACGAUCGCGUUCUACUCAAAUGUGUCGAAAUGUCCUUUCAAUGUUAUGCUGGAGAAAGCAACAGAUGCUCAUUCUGGUGCAAGAGAGCUGUGCCUUUCCGUGCCAUUUCUUUUGUACAAUUGCACAGAUCUCUUGCUUACAGUCACAGAAAUCAGCUAUGAGAGGAGCGGGUCCACCCUUUUGAUCCCUUGCAGUUUUGAGUUAGAUGGGCACACAAGACAUGUGCUCGGGAAAAAUGGCCUUUCUCUUGUUUCAGAAGACCCAUCCAUACAGCACUUUGCAAGUAAAAUGCCACAGUUGGAUUUUAUUGAUGGACACAGCUCUCAUUCAAACAGAAGAGUUGCAAAUAACAGUGAGCAUGUGCAGAAAGAAUGUGACAGAGAGGCUAAAGCUUACAUGUUUGCUCCUGCUGGACAUACACCUCCAACUGAACUUUCAGUUAAGCUGAAUGCAUCCGUACCUAAUAGUGGAACUGAAACAACUCGACGAGAUUGGUCGAGUCCAUUUCUCCUUGUCCCUUCCAGUGGUUCAACGAGUCUCACUAUUCCACAAUCAUCUACUUCUAGUGCCUUCUUAAUAGCCGUAACAUCUGUACCUGUUUCGACAGAACUUUUUGGGAGGACAAAGGCUAUUGCUUUCCAGCCGAGAUAUGUAAUUUGUAAUGCAUGCAGCAAUGAUAUGUUCUAUAAACAAAAGGGAACAAGAUUUUCUAAGCAUUUGAGCUCGGGACAACACUCUUUUCUUCACUGGGCUGAUACAGCCAGAGAAUUGCUUGUCUCGAUUCGAUUUGAUGGGCCAGGAUGGCAAUGGUCUGGUAGCUUUUUCCCUGGCCGCCUGGGAGAUGCCCAAGUGAAAAUGAGGAAUAGUGCCUCAGGUGUAUCAAAUAUGGUUCGAGUGGAAGUACAAAAUGCUGAUAUAGACAUACAUAGCAAAAAAAUUGCUGGAAGAAACAAUAGUACUACCGGUACAAUACUGAUUCUGCUGUCUGAUGAUAAGACUGGUUUUGUACCUUACAGGAUUGACAACUUUUCGCUCGAGAAACUGCGGAUAUAUCAGCAGAGAUGUGAAUCUAUUGAAACAAUUGUAUAUCCUUACACAUCAUGUCAAUAUGCCUGGGAUGAACCUUGCUAUCCUCACCGUCUUAUUGUUGAGGUUCCUGGGGAACGGAGUUUGGGUACAUACAGUCUGGAUGUUCUCAGUGAUGAUGUUCAUGUGGCCCUACCUUCCACACCUGAGAAAGCCGAAAGAAAAUUUGGCAUCUCGGUGCAUGCGGAGGGAGCAAUAAAGGUGCUCAGUAUUAUUGAUUCAAAUUGUCACAACACGGACACAAAAGAAGCAGGUGUCCUUGGAUCAAGGGAACCAAAGGAUGCUGAUCACAAACAGGAGAUCGAGUUGAACUUCACUGAAGUUAUCAAAAUACACUUACCAUUCAUGGGCAUAUCUUUGAUAAGCUCUUCUCCUCAGGAAUUGUUGUUUGCUUCUGCCAAGGAUAUGACAUUUGUUGCCAUGCAGAGCUUAGAUCAGCAGCGGAUCACGGUUGAAAUACCAAGUAUGCAAAUUGAUAAUCAAUUCUCUGACAGCCCAUACCCUGUCAUGCUGUCAUUUGAGGGAAGCCACAAGGGAAAAUCGAUUAAUUUUUUGAAGAGUAAAGAUAUCAAGCUGAAAUCUCUAAAUGAGAGUAGAAGUUCUAAUACCCCAGAACCUGUGCUGCGGUUUGCUGCAGUAAAAUGGAGAACUAGAGAUACAUCAUUUCUUUCGUAUCAACGUAUAAACAUCAGUGUAGCACCUUUCUGCCUUGAACUUGAAGAACGACUUGUCCUGAGCAUGAUUGACUUUUUUAGAUCCGUUUCCUCUAGAGUGCAUUUUGGUCUGUUGGAGAAAAGUGUAGACUCAAGUAUUUUAUGUGGUGCUACUGAUAUUUUUGGUGAAUAUGCAAAAAUAUCAAAAAACCUGUCAGACAAGCCCCAAAGCUCCUACACAGUGGACACUGAUCAAGACAAUGGACUGCUGCCGUCUGUUAUCCCGAUUGGUGCACCAUGGCAACAGAUACACCUAUUAGCCAGGAAACAGAAGAAAGUAUAUAUUGAAUUGUUUGAGUUGACUCCUGUCAAGUUAACUUUCAGUUUUACUAGCACUCCAUGGCUCAAUAGGAAUGAAGGUGUCUCAGACCCCAGCACAAGCUUCAACAACAGUACUGCAAUUCAGAGAGGCCUUAUGGCUCUCAUUGACGUUGAAGGAGUACCAGUUCAUCUAGGAGAAAUAAUGGUAGAAAAUCUUAUGGCAAGUUGGCAAUCCAUCCAGGACAUUCUUGUGAGGCACUAUAGCAGGCAGUUGCUUCAUGAACUCUAUAAGGUUUUUGGCUCUGCUGGCGUUAUAGGGAAUCCUAUGGGUUUUGCCAGGAAUGUUGGAUUUGGCUUAAAAGACUUUAUGUCUGCCUCAAGGAAAGGGAAAUUGCAGAGUCCUGUUGAACUAUUAAACGGUAUCGCACAAGGUUCAAAAAAUCUUAUUGGCAGUACGGUUUAUGCAGUCAGUAGCGCCACUUCUCACUUUAGUAAAACUGCCUAUAAGGGCCUUGUUGCGUUUACAUAUGAUGAGCAAACGGCUUCCAAACUGGAUGAACGGGACAGACAGCUAGGUUUGCAUGGGGAAGGAGUGCUGAAUGGGUUUCUAGAGGGUCUGACUGGGCUCCUCCAAUCGCCAAUCAGAGGUGCUGAGAAACAUGGUCUUCCUGGGGUUAUCUCAGGUAUAGCAAUGGGAACAGCUGGGCUUGUGGCUAGGCCUAUGGCCAGUAUUCUUGAAGCCACAGGCAAAACUGCACAGAGCAUAAGAAACCGAAGCAAUCCUCAUGAAUCCAACCGCCUGCGUGUCCGUUUCUCGAGGCCUGUGGCCAGAGAUCGCCCUUUGUUCCCAUACUCCUGGGAAGAAGCAGUUGGAGUAUCUUUGCUUCUCCGAGCUGAUGGUGGCAGGCUGAAGGAUGAGACAUUUGUCGUGUGCAAGACACUCCGAGAGCCCGGAAAGUUCCUUGUGCUUAGUGAGAAACUGCUCCUGCUAGUCUCGAGCCGGUACUUGGUGGAUUUGGGGUCACCCCAGUUUGCUGGUGUUCCUCCUGACCCACAGUGGGCUAUUGAAACUGAGAUGAACCUGAAAUCUAUUGUUCAUCUGGACAGAGCUCAGGAGGUAGUGAACAUUGUUGGGAGCAACGGCGAAACAUCGCCGAGGGACAAAAGAGGCAGAUCAAGAGACAUUGCCCUGAGCUCAGCCUUCAUCCCACUAUUUCAUUUCAGUGUCGAGCUGCCAAGCAUCGAAGAUGCAGAGGGCACGUUGCAGUUCUUAAUGGCACUUAUAGAGAAGGGAAAGGCAAGGAGAUGGGACAAGAACAUCCUUCACCGAAGCAACAUUAGCUGA